rnacentral:ncRNA from 1 species
ACCCAGGAGUUAACGCGUGCGCGAGUCAAAGGGCCUGAAACAAAACCCCACGGCGCAAUGAAGGUGAAGGCCGGCGCGCGCCGGCCGAGGUGGGAUCCCCCCUAACGGGUCGCGGGGGCGCACCACCGGCCCGUUCUCCCGCUCCGUCGGGGAGGUGGAGCUAGAGCGUACGCGAUGGUACCCGAAAGAUGGUGAACUAUGCUGGGCAGGGCGAAGCCAGGGGAAACUCUGGUGGAGGCCCGCAGCGGUCCUGACGUGCAAAUCGGUCGUCCGACCUGGGUAUAGGGGCGAAAGACUAAUCGAACCAUCUAGUAGCUGGUUCCCUCCGAAGUUUCCCUCAGGAUAGCUGGCCGCUCGCCUCAGCAGUUUUAUCCGGUAAAGCUAAUGACUAGAGGCAUUGGGGCGAAACGAUCUCAACCUAUUCUCAAACUUUAAAUGGGUAAGAAGCCCGGCUCGCUGGCUUGGAGCCGGGCAUGGAAUGCGAGUGCCAGUGGGCCACUUUUGGUAAGCAGAAACUGGCGCUGCGGGAUGAACCGAACGCCGGGUUAAGGCGCCCGACGCCGACGCUCAUCAGACCCCAUGAAAGGUGUUGGUUGAUAUGACAGCAGGACGGUGGCCAUGGAAGUUGGAAUCCGCUAAGGAGUGUGUAAAACUCACCUGCCGAAUCACCUAGCCUUGAAAAUGGAUGGCGCUGGAGCGUCGGGCCUACCGGCGUCGCCGGAGAGAGAGGGUCAGUCUUUCCGGGCUUACGCGCGCGAAGUAGGAGGGCCGCCGCGGUGGCGCAGAGCUCGGGCGCGGGCCCGGGUGGAGCCGCCGCGGGUGCAGAUCUUGGUGGUAGUAGCAAAUAUUCAAACGAGAGCUUUUGAAGGCCGACGUGGAGAAGGGUUCCAUGUGAACAAGCAGUUGAAACAUUGGUCAGUCGGUCCUAAGGGAUGGGCGAAACGCGUUUCGGAGCGUGGGGCCGAUGGCCUCCGUCGCCCCCGCCGAUCGAAAGGGAAGUCGGGUAAGAUCCCGAACCCGGAGUGGCGGAGAUAGGCGCCGCGAGGCGCCCAGUGCGGUAACGCAAACGAGACCGGAGACGCCAGCGGGGCACCGGGAAGAGUUCUCUUUUCUUUGUGAAGGGCAGGGGCUCCCUGGAAUGGGUUCACCCCGAGAUAGGCCCACGCCCUGGAAAAGCGCCGCGGCUCUGGCGGCGUCCGGUAAGCUCUCGCUGGCCCUUGAAAAUCCGGGGGAGAGGGUGUAAGUCUACUUAUGCGACUUCAUCUAUGUUGGGUUUCAGAUAACAAACUAGUAAUGUAUAACAAGACCAUGGUC